rnacentral:rRNA from 1 species
UACAGAGGGUGCAAACGUUGCUCGGAAUUAUUGGGCGUAAAGCGCAUGUAGGCGGCAUAGUAAGUUCACUGUGAAAGCCCUUGGCUCAACCAAGGAAGUGCAGUGAAAACUGCUAAGCUCGAGUUCUGAAGAGGGUCGCGGAAUGGCCAGUGUAGAGGUGAAAUUCGUAGAUAUUGGCUAGAACACCAGUGGCGAAGGCGGCGACCUGGGAAGAUACUGACGCUGAGGAGCGAAAGCGUAGGGAGCGAACAGG